rnacentral:rRNA from 1 species
UACGUAGGUGGCGAGCGUUGUCCGGAUUUACUGGGCGUAAAGCGCGCGCAGGCGGUUCGUUAAGUCCGGUGUGAAAGCUCCCGGCUCAACUGGGAGAGGUCAUUGGAUACUGGCGGACUUGAGGGAUGCAGAGGAAGGUGGAAUUCCCGGUGUAGUGGUGAAAUGCUUAGAUAUGACAUAGAACACCAAUUGCGAAGGCAGCUUACUACACAGUCAUUGACACUGAGGCACGAAAGCGUGGGGAUCAAACAGG